UUCCGUAGGUGAACCUGCGGAGGGAUCAUUAAAGAGUUUUCUAUAACUCCCCACCCCAUGUGAACAUACCUUACGUUGCCUCGGCAGGUCGCGCCUACCUAGUAGCACCCUACCCUGUAGGGCCUACCCGGGAGACGCGGGUAAGCCUGCCGGCGGCCCACGAAACUCUGUUUAAUAUUGAAUUCUGAACAUAUAACUAAAUAAGUUAAAACUUUCAACAACGGAUCUCUUGGUUCUGGCAUCGAUGAAGAACGCAGCGAAAUGCGAUAAGUAAUGUGAAUUGCAGAAUUCAGUGAAUCAUCGAAUCUUUGAACGCACAUUGCGCCCAUUAGUAUUCUAGUGGGCAUGCCUGUUCGAGCGUCAUUUCAACCCUUAAGCCUCUGUUGCUUAGCGUUGGGAGCCUACAGCACCUGUAGCUCCUCAAAGUUAGUGGCGGAGUCGGUUCACACUCUAGACGUAGUAAUUUUAUCUCGCCUAUUAGUUGGACCGGUCUCCCGCCGUAAAACCCCUAUUUUUAAAGGUUGACCUCGGAUCAGGUAGGAAUACCCGCAUUUCCCUUAAGCAUAUCAAUAAGCGGAGGAAAAAUUUUUUUUUGGUUGUUGUGUGGGAUUUAAUAUGAGUUUUAGUUG
rnacentral:ncRNA from 1 species